rnacentral:rRNA from 1 species
UACAGAGGUCUCAAGCGUUGUUCGGAUUCAUUUGGGCGUAAAGGGUGCGUAGGCGGUCGUGUGCGUCGGAGGUGAAAUCCCCGGGCUUAACCCGGGGAGCUGCCUCCGAUACGGCACGGCUUGAGUCCGGGAGAGGGGAGCAGAAUUCCCAGUGUAGCGGUGAAAUGCGUAGAUAUUGGGAGGAAUACCGGUGGCGAAGGCGGGCUCCCUGGACCGGUACUGACGCUGAG